CUCAGGACAUCAGCAACUCUCGUAGCGUUGUUCAAAUGCACUUCAAGGGAAUCCUUGAGGAGAAGCGAAGCGUGGACUUUCACAACCUUGGAAGGCUCCGCUUGAUUCUUUUCCACUUUGUCUUUAUCAGCAUGAAUCUUCCGCAGCAGAUUUUUUAACCUCUUGUCACAGAACUGAUACCUUUUACUAUUGCUCUCAUUAAGUUUUCUCACUUGAGCUACCAGAAAAGAGGAGACCGUCCAGAGCAAAUCCUGAUAAUGGAUCAUCAUCCGCACCAC
rnacentral:lncRNA from 1 species